UGCGCCGCGUCAGGAGAGAGUCGAAGGGCGCCGAGCCUUUCAGCCGCCGAAGGCGUAAACCCGGUCGAUGCAAGGGUGUACCGCUCAGGCAAAAGGACUGACGAAACCCU
rnacentral:ncRNA from 1 species